ncrna:Parvimonas sp. oral taxon 110 str. F0139 dfrA-dnaX RNA
GCGCCUAAUGGCAAAGCUACUUAUAUUUCAUCAUAACUACCAUAAAAAAAGUAUCAUAAAGGAGUUAUGAUAUAAU